rnacentral:lncRNA from 10 species
CAUGAUUCAAUGGCUGUGUUUUAAGAGCCACCUCCCGCCAUGGGCCAGUCUGGCUGGAAACUGUAGGAGUGAAUAAGAGAAGGAUCCAUGUGAGUGCGUGGUCAAAAUAGAAGUUGCCGUGGAAAGGCGAGAGAUGAGUCUGCCAGUGAGAGCCUGUCUGGAUGUCGUCAGCUGUGAUGGGCCUACAGGUUGUCACGGACUUGGCGGCUCUCCGACGACUGCUGAGCAGUCUUCUAUGUAUAAGAAUCCAGAGCCUGUCGGGAUGAACCAGGGUGUAGGGAGUCAGUGUUAAUGGCGCUUGGGAGCUGGGUUCAGCGGGGAGGUUCCUCAGAAGGGUCCGGACUCCAUCACAAUCAUUGCAGAUGGAGUUGGACUCUAGCCAGCAGAGAGGAGUAGUCACAGAAACUGUGGAGGCCAGAACAAGCUGAUCUGAGCCCUAGGGGGUUAAAAUUCUUUCUUCCCUCCCCACUCACCUCAGAAAAGUGACCUGGGACCUUGUGACCAAGCAAGUGAAAAUUCAAUUCAUUAUCUCAUAAAUGCCUUCAAGAGUUGGUAGACCUAAGAGUACAAAAGAAUACAAGAUUCCCCCCACUUCCAAAAAUCCUAAGAGUUGAAAGGGUGAAUACAUGUGCAUAUGGUCAGAGUUGAAACCUACAAAUGCAGGCACAUGAUCAACCCUGUGUAGGCAUAGACAAGAAUUAAGGAGUGUGUGGAUUACCAGAAUCCAGGGAUUGGGCUGAAGAGCUGGGGAGACAAACCCUCAUUUUUUUUUAUGCCUGUGACAUAGAACUUAGGGAGUCCCCCUAGGCCACCACAUCCAGGAGAAAUUCCCUAUCCUAAGCAACCUCAACUGAAGGGCUCAUAACGGCCUUCUUGGGGGCUAAGCCACCCCAGUUAACUGAGAUAAUGUUUUUUCUUUGUGGGUGUACAUUUUUUUCACUCCAGGAGAUUUGGGGUUAUGUUAAGACAGGCUUAUGGGAAUUAAAACCAUAGUAUUUUAUUUUUCUGUUAUACACUUACUUGUAAUGCUAAGAUAAUUUUGCCUAUUAAAGUGAGAAUCUAAUCAUCCUAAUUUAAAAUGUAAUUGAGCAAUUAGAUGUGUGAGUUUACAUUGAAAUCUUACUAAACUUAUGCUCAGUCCUAGAAUAUUUCAGAGCAUUUUAGGUUCACAGUAUAUAUACAUUUAAUUUACUAGCUGUAAAUGAAUUAGUUAUGUCCCCAGGGAGAUUUUGCUCAAAACAGGCAAAUGAGUUUAAAAGGAAAUCCAACAGAUGACUUUAAAGAUGUUAUUGAAGUACAUCAUAUACUCUGACAAGUCCUGAGAUGACAAAGUGAACCGGUAUCCAUGUAACCAGCACCAGAUCAAGAUGCCUCACAAUACUUGAACCUGGAAAACCUCUCAGCAGGUCCCUCCUGCAGCCAGUCCCCCUCCAAGGGAAACCAC